UACGUAGGGACCGAGCGUUGUCCGGAUUUACUGGGCGUAAAGAGCGCGCAGGCGGUCGUAUAAGUCGCGUGUGAAAGCCCCCGGCUCAACUGGGGAGGGUCACGCGAUACUGUUCGACUCGAAGGCAGGAGAGGGAAGUGGAAUUCCCGGUGUAGUGGUGAAAUGCGUAGAUAUCGGGAGGAACACCAGUGGCGAAGGCGGCAUCCUGGACCGAGAUUGACACUAAAGCGCGAAAGCCAGGGGAGCAAACGGG
rnacentral:rRNA from 1 species